AUUGAACGCUGGCGGCAUGCUUUACACAUGCAAGUCGAACGGUAACAGGCCGCAAGGUGCUGACGAGUGGCGAACGGGUGAGUAAUGCAUCGGAACGUGCCCAGUCGUGGGGGAUAACUACUCGAAAGGGCAGCUAAUACCGCAUACGAUCUAUGGAUGAAAGCGGGGGACCGUAAGGCCUCGCGCGAUUGGAGCGGCCGAUGUCAGAUUAGGUAGUUGGUGGGGUAAAGGCUCACCAAGCCAACGAUCUGUAGCUGGUCUGAGAGGACGACCAGCCACACUGGGACUGAGACACGGCCCAGACUCCUACGGGAGGCAGCAGUGGGGAAUUUUGGACAAUGGGCGCAAGCCUGAUCCAGCAAUGCCGCGUGCAGGAAGAAGGCCUUCGGGUUGUAAACUGCUUUUGUACGGAACGAAACGGCUCUGGUUAAUACCCGGGGCUAAUGACGGUACCGUAAGAAUAAGCACCGGCUAACUACGUG
rnacentral:rRNA from 1 species